UACGUAGGGGGCAAGCGUUGUCCGGAAUCAUUGGGCGUAAAGAGCGUGUAGGCGGCUUGGUAAGUCCGCUGUGAAAGUCCAGGGCUCAACCCUGGAAUGCCGGUGGAAACUGUCAAGCUUGAGUCCGGAAGAGGCGAGUGGAAUUCCUGGUGUAGCGGUGAAAUGCGCAGAUAUCAGGAGGAACACCAAUGGCGAAGGCAGCUCGCUGGGACGGUACUGACGCUGAGACGCGAAAGCGUGGGGAGCGAACAGG
rnacentral:rRNA from 1 species